rnacentral:tRNA from 1 species
GGGUAUAUAGCUCAGUGGUAGAGUACGUGCCUAGCACGCAUGAGGUCCUGGAUUCAGUCCCCAGUACCUCCA